UUGGAGGGCAAGUCUGGUGCCAGCAGCCGCGGUAAUUCCAGCUCCAAUAGCGUAUAUUAAAGUUGUUGCAGUUAAAAAGCUCGUAGUUGAAUUUCGGGAUUGACACAUCGGUCGUGCCUUAAGGGGCAUGAACUGGUGUAGUCAAUUUCUCACCUUCUGGAGAACCGCGAUGCCCUUAAUUGGGUGCCGCGGGGAACCAGGACCUUUACUUUGAAAAAAUUAGAGUGUUUAAAGCAGGCAUUUUGCUUGAAUACAUUAGCAUGGAAUAAUAAAAUAGGACGGCAUGAUUCUAUUUUGUUGGUUUCUAGGAUCACCGUAAUGAUUAAUAGGGAUAGUUGGGGGCAUUAGUAUUCAAUUGUCAGAGGUGAAAUUCUUGGAUUUAUUGAAGACUAACUACUGCGAAAGCAUUUGCCAAGGAUGUUUUCAUUAAUCAAGAACGAAAGUUAGGGGAUCGAAGACGAUCAGAUACCGUCGUAGUCUUAACCAUAAACUAUGCCGACUAGGGAUCGGAUGAUGUUAAUUUUUUAAUGACUCAUUCGGCGCCUUACGGGAAACCAAAGUGUUUGGGUUC
rnacentral:rRNA from 1 species